rnacentral:rRNA from 1 species
GACGAACGCUGGCGGCGUGCCUAAUACAUGCAAGUCGAGCGAAUGGAAGGGAGCUUGCUCCCGGAAGUUAGCGGCGGACGGGUGAGUAACACGUGGGCAACCUGCCCUGUAGACUGGGAUAACAUCGAGAAAUCGGUGCUAAUACCGGAUAAUCUUAGGAACCACAUGGUUCCUUAGUAAAAGAUGGCUCCGGCUAUCACUACAGGAUGGGCCCGCGGCGCAUUAGCUAGUUGGUGAGGUAGAGGCUCACCAAGGCGACGAUGCGUAGCCGACCUGAGAGGGUGAUCGGCCACACUGGGACUGAGACACGGCCCAGACUCCUACGGGAGGCAGCAGUAGGGAAUCUUCCACAAUGGACGAAAGUCUGAUGGAGCAACGCCGCGUGAGUGAAGAAGGGUUUCGGCUCGUAAAACUCUGUUGUUAAAGAAGAACAGGUGUAAGAGUAACUGUUUACACCGUGACGGUAUUUAACCAGAAAGCCACGGCUAACUACGUGCCAGCCGCCGCAGUAAUAC